GCGUCGCUGCUGUCGUCUAUGCCGUGCUGGACCUCGCAGCGGUAGAUGCCAGAGUCGUUGGGCCGCAGCUCGCUCAGCGCCAGGGAGACGUCGGUGAGUGACGCCGGGUAGGCGGGCAGCGCCACGCGGAACCGGUAGGCCUCGCUCACCUUGACGCGCAGCCCCCGCGCCACCAGCACCUCGGCCUCCCGGCCCCCGGACAGGAAGGUCCACUUGACCCGCGGGGAGCCCAGCACGGCCCGGCGGCCCGGCGGCGGCCGCAGGUAGUGAACGUGGCACGGGAUGGUGAGGGCGCCGCCCAGCACGCCCUGCAGCGGCGCGUCGCCCGAGAUGCGCACGCGGAAGGCCCGGUCCUCUGCGGGUGGGCGGGCGGGGCCGGCUGGGACUCAGCGCCUGGGUCCGAAGGGUCCCCCCGCCCAGGUUUCCAUGCGCCCCCCCCCACCCCCAGAGUCCUGCAUCGCCACCCCGCACCCUCUCCAGAUCUGUCCCCGAAGUCUCCGGGUCGGCUCCGCCCCCAGAGUGGCCAGCGCCACCCCUCGAUUCCCAGCCUGCACCCCAGGCUUUCUAACCUCACCCCCUGGGUCCUCCAGUCCUCAGAGUUUCCCUCAGAGUCACCUGCAGGAUUUCU
rnacentral:lncRNA from 1 species